UACAUUUAUAUGAUAUAUAUCUCUCAAUGUAUAAAUAUAUGAUUUAGCACAUGUAGAAAUUGCAUGGAAGUAAUUGUUUAUGUAAGAGCAAUAAUUCAUUUAAUUAUGAACGUCGUGUGAUUAUUGUGUAUAAAUUGAAUUGUCUACAUAUUGUUUAUCAUUAUCAUGUUAUGCAUAUUAUAAGGCAUAUUCUCAUUGUAUAUUUCAGGGUUUCCGUUUUAAUACAGCAUAUAAAUCAUUACUAUAAUUCAAACAACCAAUAUUGUUAUUUUUGGUACAACGCCCAAUUGUAACGUUAAUUCAAAAGUAUAAGCGGAUUUUAAUUUUUCAUCGUCAACUUUCCUGACUUAUGUAGCAAUAAACCUUCAUCACCUGC
rnacentral:sRNA from 1 species